CCUACGGGUGGCAGCAGUAGGGAAUAUUGCUCAAUGGGGGAAACCCUGACGCAGCAACGCCGCGUGGAGGAUGAAGGUUUUCGGAUUGUAAACUCCUUUUGUUAGAGAAGAUAAUGACGGUAUCUAACGAAUAAGCACCGGCUAACUCCGUGCCAGCAGCCGCGGUAAUACGGAGGGUGCAAGCGUUACUCGGAAUCACCGGGCGUAAAGAGCGCGUAGGCGGGAUAGCAAGUCAGAUGUGAAAUCCUAUGGCUUAACCAUAGAACUGCAUUUGAAACUGGUAUUCUAGAGUAUGGGAGAGGUAGGUGGAAUUCUGGGUGUAGGGGUAAAAUGCGUAGAGAUCAAGAGGAAUACUCAUUGCGAAGGCGACCUGCUAGAACAUAACUGACGCUGAUGCGCGAAAGCGUGGGGAGCAAACAGGAUUAGAUACCCUUGUAGUC
rnacentral:rRNA from 1 species